UAACUUUAAAACCUAAAUCCUACUUUAGGCUUCCGGAAUUCGGUUGCGGUUCUAGUUCUUGUGCUCAAUGAUACACAAAGCAUCUAGUCAUAUUUGACUACAAAUCCGCUAACCAAGCUUAUUCUUGAUUCUCAAAGCUUUGAUAGUGAAGCCGAAUUCUUAUGAGUUUUUGGUUUUGAACAGUUUAACAAGGAAGCAUUACUUUACUUUUCGGGAUCUGGUCGAGGUUCUAGCUUUAUAUUCAAUCAUACACAUAACAUCUAGUCAUAUUUAACUCUGAAACGCUAACGUAGAUUCUUUUUGCUUCUUAAAGUAUUAAAUAUUUUUGCUCCUAAACACUAAACAUAAACCCUACACCCUAAAUCCCAAACCCUAAAAUCUAAUCCCUAAACCCUAAACCCUAAACCCUAACCCUAAAU
rnacentral:sRNA from 1 species